GUCUGUGGCCAUACCACCCUGAAUGUGCCCGAUCUUGUCUGAUCUCAGAAGCUAAACAGCGUUGGGCCUGGUUUGUACUUGGAUGGGAGACCACCUGGGAAUACCCGGUGAUGCAGACU
ensembl:rRNA 5S_rRNA 5S ribosomal RNA